AGGAAGUUACUGAAGAUCUUGCUGAGGAUGACACUCCAGGUGAGUUGUUUUUUAAAGAAGCCCUUGGGUGAGGCAAGUAGUAGUGGAUCAGACAUGACCGAGUCUUCUGCUGAUUCCAAGGCUCCCAUUGUGAAGAGGGUUGUGGUUGGGCAUGUGUCCCCAAUGCACUACUGGCCUUGGCAGGUCUCUCUCCAGUACAAGUCUGGCAGUAGUUACCACCACACCUGUGGAGGCGUUCUGAUCAAGAGGAACUGGGUGCUGACUGCUGCUCACUGUGUGGACUCUAGGUACAG